AAAGAUUUAGUUUAAUAAAACAUUAAGUUGUCAAUUUAAAAAUACUUUCUAAGUAAUCUUUU
rnacentral:tRNA from 1 species